rnacentral:misc_RNA from 1 species
CGAGGAUUUGUUGUUUUUCAACGCAAUCCCCACCCUUUGUGAUAUCAAUAUCAGAUUGCUUCGGCGAGUCGGUUGCUGGUCAACCAUCGACCCCCCAAGGUGGAUGAGCACUCGCCGAAGAAGUUUAACUCGUCAAUAAUGAUGUCUGAGUCUUUUAUAAACAAAUAA